rnacentral:rRNA from 1 species
GACGAACGCUGGCGGCGUGCCUAAUACAUGCAAGUCGAACGAGUGGCGGCCGGGUGAGUAAUGUCUGGGACACUGCCCGAUGGAGGGGGAUAACUACUGGAAACGGUAGCUAAUACCGCAUACCAUCGGAUGUGCCCAGAUGGGAUUUGCUAGUAGGCGGGGUAACGGCUCACCUAGGAGACGAUCCCUAGCUGGUCUGAGAGGAUGACCAGCCACACUGGAAGGGAGACACGGUCCAGGCACCUACGGUAGGCAGCAGUGGGGAAUAUUGCACAAUGGGCGCAAGCCUGAUGCAGCCAUGCCGAGUGUAUGAAGAAGGCCUUCGGGUUGUAAAGUACUUUCAGCGAGGAGGCGUUACUCGCAGAAGAAGCACCGGCUAACUCCGUGCCAGCCGCCGCGGUAAUAC